rnacentral:rRNA from 1 species
AGAGUUUGAUCCUGGCUCAGGAUGAACGCUGGCGGCGUGCCUAACACAUGCAAGUCGAACGAAGCACUCUAGUUGAUCCUUCGGGAGAUACUUUAGUGACUGAGUGGCGGACGGGUGAGUAACGCGUGGGUAACCUGCCCUGUACAGGGGGAUAACAGUCAGAAAUGACUGCUAAUACCGCAUAAGCGCACGAGAGGACAUCCUCACGUGUGAAAAACUCCGGUGGUACAGGAUGGGCCCGCGUCUGAUUAGCUAGUUGGUGGGGUAGAGGCUUACCAAGGCGUAUGGGUAUCCGGCCUGAGAGGGUGGACGGACACAUGGGAACUGAGACACGGUCCCAACUCCUACGGGAGGCAGCAGUAAGGAAUAUUGGGCAAUGGGCGAAAGCCUGACCCAGCGACACCGCGUGAAUGAUGAAGGUCUUCGGAUUGUAAAGUUCUAACAAGUAUAAGAAAGCGAGGAGUACUAAAAAUGCUUCGAGUUGAUGAAGGUACUAGAUGAAGUCAUGGCUAACUCUGUGCCAGCAGCCGCGGUAAUACAGAGAUGGCGACCGUUGUUCGGAAUCACUGGGCUUAAAGGGCACGCAGGUGGAAACAGAAGUUGAUUGUGAAAGGUAAUGGCUUACCCAUUGCACAGCAGUCAAAACCAUGUAACUAGAGUGAUGUAGGGGUGAGUGGAACUCCUGGUGGAGCGGUGAAAUGCGUUGAUAUCAGGAGGAACGCCGGAGGCGAAAGCGGCUCACUGGACAUUAACUGACACUGAGGUGCGAGAGCUAGGGGAGCAAACAGGAUUAGAUACCCUGGUAGUCCUAGCUGUAAACGAUGAGUACUAGGUAGGGGUGGGAAUCCCUGCUGGAGCGAAAGUAAUAAGUACUCCGCCUGGGGAGUAUAGUCGCAAGGCUGAAACUCAAAGGAAUUGACGGGGGCUCACACAAGCGGUGGAGUAUGUGGUUUAAUUCGAAGCAACGCGAAGAACCUUACCCAGAUUUGACAUUACUGGAUUAGUUUGCUGAAAGGUAAAUGACGCUCGCAAGAGUGGAACAGCAACAGGUGUUGCAUGGCUGUCGUCAGCUCGUGCCGUGAGGUGUUGGGUUAAGUCCUAUAACGAGCGAAACCUUUGUCCUUAGUUACCAGCGGGAGAGCCGGGGACUCUAAGGAGACUGCGCGCGUCAAGCGUGAGGAAGGUGGAGACGACGUCAAGUCAUCAUGGCCUUUAUGUCUGGGGCUACACACGUACUACAAUGAUAAGUACAAAGGGGAGCGAGACCGAGAGGUGGAGCGAAUCCGGAAAAGCUUAUCUCAGUACAGAUUGAGGGCUGCAAUUCGCCCUCAUGAAGUUGGAAUCGCUAGUAAUCGUAGGUCAGCGAUACUACGGUGAAUGUGUUCCUGAGCCUUGUACACACCGCCCGUCAAGCCACUGAAGCAGGGUUAGCCUGAAGCCAUCGACCCAACCGAGAGGGGGGAGGUGUCCAAGGAAGAUUCUGUGACAGGGACUAAGUCGUAACAAGGUAACC